rnacentral:rRNA from 1 species
GAUGAACGCUGGCGGCGUGCUUAACACAUGCAAGUCGAACGGAGUUUAUACGGAAAGCGUCUUCGGACACCGGAAGUAUAAACUUAGUGGCGGACGGGUGAGUAACGCGUGGGUAACCUGCCUUAUACAAGGGGAUAACAGAGGGAAACUUCUGCUAAUACCGUAUAAAAAUAUUUCACGCAUGUGAGAUAUUUGAAAGAUUUAUCGGUAUAAGAUGGACCCGCGUCUGAUUAGGUAGUUGGUGAGGUAGAGGCUCACCAAGCCGACGAUCGGUAGCCGAUCUGAGAGGAUGACCGGCCACAUUGGGACUGAGACACGGCCCAAACUCCUACGGGAGGCAGCAGUGGGGAAUAUUGGACAAUGGGGGCAACCCUGAUCCAGCGACGCCGCGUGAGUGAAGAAGUAUUUCGGUAUGUAAAGCUCUAUCGAUAACGGAAGAAGAGACAAGCCG